rnacentral:rRNA from 1 species
GUCUAUGGCCAUACCACCAUGAACACGCCUGGUCUUGUCUGAUCUCAGAAGCUAAGCAGGGUUGAGCCUGGUUAAUACUUGGAUGGGAGAAAGUUUCUGAUAAUAUCAACA